rnacentral:rRNA from 1 species
UACGGAGGAGGCAAGCGUUAUCCGGAAUUAUUGGGCGUAAAGCGUCCGUAGGUGGGACUUCAAGUCUGCUGUUAAAGAUUGGGGCUUAACCGUAAAAAGGCAGUGGAAACUGAAGAUCUAGAGUGUAGUAGGGGAAAGUGGAAUUCCUGGUGUAGCGGUGAAAUGCGUAGAGAUCUGGAAGAACAUCGGUGGCGAAGGCGCUCUUCUGGUCUAUAACUGACGCUCAGGGACGAAAGCGUGGGGAGCAAAUGGG